rnacentral:rRNA from 1 species
AGAGUUUGAUCCUGGCUCAGGAUAGACGCUGGCGGCGUGCUUCAGGCAUGCAAGUCGAACGAGCGUCCCGGUUCGCCGGGAAGCUAGUGGCGGACGGGUGAGUAACACGUAAGCAACCUGCCCAGAAGUGUGGAAUAACCCACCGAAAGGUGAGCUAAUACCGCAUGUGAUGUCUCCUCCCUGGAGGAGCCAUGAAAGGCGAAAGUCGCUUCUGGAGGGGCUUGCGGCUGAUUAGCUAGUUGGUGGGGUAAUGGCCUACCAAGGCUACGAUCGGUAGCUGGUCUGAGAGGACGGACAGCCACACGGGGACUGAGAUACGGCCCCGACUCCUACGGGAGGCAGCAGCUAGGAAUCUUGGGAAUGGGCGAAAGCCUGACCCAGCAACGCCGCGUGGGCGAUGAAGGCCUUCGGGUCGUAAAGCCCUUUUGCAGGGGACGAUAAUGACGGUACCCUGCGAAUAAGCCACGGCUAACUACGUGCCAGCAGCCGCGGUAAUACGUAGGUGGCAAGCGUUGUCCGGAUUUACUGGGCGUAAAGGGCGUGCAGGCGGUUUGUUAAGUCUAGGGUGAAAGCUCCCGGCUCAACUGGGAGAGGUCCUUGGAUACUGGCGAACUUGAGGGAUGCAGAGGAAAGUGGAAUUCCCGGUGUAGUGGUGAUAUGCGUAGAUAUCGGGAGGAACACCAGUGGCGAAGGCGGCUUUCCGGGCAUUUCCUGACGCUGAGACGCGAAAGCGUGGGGAGCGAACCGGAUUAGAUACCCUGGUAGUCC